rnacentral:rRNA from 1 species
ACCACCUCUUCCCAUACCGAACAGAGCCGUUAAGCCCCGUUACGCCGAUGGUACUGGAGUCACUUCCGGGAGAGUAGGUUGCCGCCACCA